CUAGGAAGAAGGAUGAUUGAUCUGUACCGUUUGGUAUGGAUAGGAAAGUCCAGACAGCAUAAAGCAGGGUGGUCGAUGUAAAUCGACAGCCGCAAGGCCUAGUUAGAGCAACAGUGACGAACCGAGGUAAAGCUCGGGUGAAACGUGGCAAUCCUCCCCGCUGCAAUCCUAGAACCAACAGAGCUGCUUGCUUAAUUGUUGAAAUCAGGAGCGUUAGAUAAAUGAUCGUCAAGUGGAUAGAUCCAGAUAUAAUCCACUGAACAGAAUCUGGCUUAUUCUCUUCCUAGGCAA
rnacentral:RNase_P_RNA from 1 species